rnacentral:tmRNA from 1 species
GGGGAUGUUAUUGGCUUCGACGCCGGUGAUGAAACUCAUAGAUGCAUGCCGAGAGCGCAUUUUCUCUCGUAAAUAAAAUUUGCAUUUAAAUAGUCGCAAACGCUGAGCCGCCUGUUUGUAAAAUCAUGGAUUACAACAAGCACUUGUUUGACCUGAAACAGAAGCAAAAAGAUGCCAAGAAAAAACAGCAUCAAGUGCAAGUGAAGGAAAUCAAACUAC